rnacentral:rRNA from 1 species
GACGAACGCUGGCGGCGUGCUUAACACAUGCAAGUCGAGCGGUAAGGCCCUUUCGGGGGUACGACGAGCGGCGAACGGGUGAGUAACACGUGGGUGACCUGCCCUCAGCUCUGGGAUAAGCCUGGGAAACCGGGUCUAAUACUGGAUAUGACUCCAUGACGCAUGUUGUGGGGUGGAAAGCCUUGUGCGGCUGAGGAUGGGCCCGCGGCCUAUCAGCUUGUUGGUGGGGUGAUGGCCUACCAAGGCGACGACGGGUAGCCGGCCUGAGAGGGCGACCGGCCACACUGGGACUGAGACACGGCCCAGACUCCUACGGGAGGCAGCAGUGGAGAAUCUUGCGCAAUGGGCGAAAGCCUGACGCAGCGACGCCGCGUGAGGGAUGACGGCCUGGUGUAACU